rnacentral:antisense_RNA from 1 species
GGGCGCCUGAGGCUUUCUGGUUUCAGGCAAUAUGUGUCUCCAGAAAGAUGAAGGCCCCGAGUUAAUAACUUAACCCGAGGCCGACACAUGAACCCAAACAGUCAUGAUGUUAGCCUCUUACUCGCCUCACGGCAAGGAGAAAAGGCUAUGAA